AGAAAGAUAAGCUAAACUUAAGCUAAUGGGUUCAUACCCCAUCAAUGGAAUAUAUCCUCCUUCUA
rnacentral:tRNA from 1 species